UACGUAGGGGGCAAGCGUUGUCCGGAUUUAUUGGGCGUAAAGAGCGUGUAGGCGGCCUGAAAGGUCGGCUGUGAAAACUCGAGGCUCAACCUCGAGACGUCGGUUGAAACCAUCUGGCUAGAGUCCGGAAGAGGAGUGUGGAAUUCCUGGUGUAGCGGUGAAAUGCGCAGAUAUCAGGAAGAACACCCGUGGCGAAAGCGGCUCUCUGGGACGGUACUGACGCUGAGACGCGAAAGCGUGGGGAGCAAACAGG
rnacentral:rRNA from 1 species